rnacentral:lncRNA from 1 species
UAGUGAAAAACUCAAAAUUUUGAAUUUAAACUUUAUUUUAUUCGAACUUUAAAUUUAUUUAUUAUUUAUUUAUUUAUUAUUUUGUUUUCUCUUUUAGUGAGAAAGAAACCAACGGAAUAUUAAAUCUCCUUUCUUUCCGCAGGUUCCGCUUCUUUCUCGUAACGCGAAAGAGCAUCAAAUUCUCUUUCUUUUUAUGUCAUUUUUUUUUUCUCUUCUGUUAAUACAAAAUAGAUAGAAAAGAUAUUAGAUAAUUGAUUAAUUCAUCUUUCAUUUUUGAAUAUUUUCUUUAUUCACUGGGUGUUGAAAAACUCUCCGUCAACCUCGUUUACGAUCGUCCUCAAAGGAGGAGGAAUUUCGGUUGUAUCUUGGGUAUUAUUUCGGGUUAAUCCCGCACGUAAGGACGGAAAUGCGCCUUAGCCCUUAGGGGAGUGCCUCGCACACUUUCGAAUAAGAUCAAAUUUUUAUUGAAAUAUUUGUGUUUAUCUGUAAGUUUGAUUUUAUCUUUAUCACAAAUUAGUUAGAUUUUAAUUACUAUCGAAUUUUUCGUUGUAGUUUUUUCACAACAGCAAUCA